CCUACGGGAGGCAGCAGUGAGGAAUAUUGGUCAAUGGGCGAGAGCCUGAACCAGCCAAGUCGCGUGAAGGAUGACGGCCCUACGGGUUGUAAACUUCUUUUGUCAGGGAGCAAUUGGGUCCACGCGUGGGCUUAGCGAGAGUACCUGAAGACAACGCAUCGGCUAACUCCGUGCCGGCAGCCGCGGUAAUACGGAGGCUGCGAGUGUUAUCCGGAUUUAUGGGGUUUAAAGGGUUCGUAGGCGGAAUAUCAGGUCAGCGGUAAAAAUUCGGGUCUCAACCCCGUCGUGCCGUUGAAACUGAUGAUCUUGAGUGGGCGAGAAGUAUGCGGAAUGCGUGGUGUAGCGGUGAAAUGCAUAGAUAUCACGCAGAACUCCGAUUGCGAAGGCAGCAUACCGGCGCCCAACUGACGCUGAAGCACGAAAGCGUGGGUAUCGAACAGGAUUAGAUACCCGAGUAGUC
rnacentral:rRNA from 1 species